CGGUCCUAAGGUAGCGAAAUUCCUUGUCGGGUAAGUUCCGACCUGCACGAAUGGCGUAACGACUUCCACGCUGUCUCGACCAGGGACUCGGCGAAAUCGACAUGGGGGUGAAGAUGCCCUCUACCCGCGGCCAGACGGAAAGACCCUGUGAACCUUUACUCUAACUUGUCAGUGGCAUUCGGUCCAUUCUGUGUAGGAUAGGUGGGAGCCUAUGAAGCCGGCACGCCAGUGUCGGUGGAGGCACCGUUGAAAUACCACCCUGGAUGUUCUGGAUGCCUAACCACUUCGGUGGGACAUUGACUGGUGGGGAGUUUGACUGGGGCGGUCGCCUCCCAAAAUGUAACGGAGGCGCGCAAAGGUUCUCUCAGCCUGAUCGGAAACCAGGCGUAGAGUGCAAAGGCAUAAGAGAGCUUGACUGCGAGACUGACAGGUCAAGCAGGUGGGAAACCAGGCCUUAGUGAUCCGGUGGUUCCAAAUGGAAGGGCCAUCGCUCAACGGAUAAAAGGUACUCCGGGGAUAACAGGCUGAUAGCGCCCAAGAGUUCAUAUCGACGGCGGUGUUUGGCACCUCGAUGUCGGCUCAUCACAUCCUGGGGCUGAAGUCGGUCCCAAGGGUAUGGCUGUUCGCCAUUUAAAGUGGUACGCGAGCUGGGUUUAGAACGUCGUGAGACAGUUCGGUCCCUAUCUGCCGUGGGCGCUGGAGAACUGAGGGGGGCUGCUCCUAGUACGAGAGGAU
rnacentral:rRNA from 1 species